rnacentral:sRNA from 1 species
UUGCUUGUGAAGCUCUCCACAGUGAUGGA